UACGUAGGGGGCGAGCGUUGUCCGGAUUUAUUGGGCGUAAAGAGCGUGUAGGCGGCCAGGUAGGUCUGCUGUGAAAACUCGAGGCUUAACCUCGAGAUGUCGGCGGAAACCAUCUGGCUAGAGUCCGGAAGAGGAGAGUGGAAUUCCAGGUGUAGCGGUGAAAUGCGUAGAUAUCUGGAGGAAUACCGGUGGCGAAGGCGGCAUCCUGGACCGACAUUGACGCUGAGGAGCGAAAGCUAGGGGAGCAAACGGG
rnacentral:rRNA from 1 species